rnacentral:lncRNA from 1 species
GUAUCAUUUACCCCCAAGGCAUCCACCUGUCUUGGGGAUGACUGGGAUUUAUUAGAGAAGGGAAGCAAAGGAAAACAUCCUAGAGAAGGGAAGCAAAGGAAAACAUCCAGUCUCCUGAUCUGACAUUCACAGGUAGGAAUUUACAGCAAGACUGUCAACAUUUGUAACAGGGCUUUGUCUUGAAUUUGAAUGUCUAAAUUCACUUAUCUACCAUUAGGAAGAGAAUCACCAGGAAGAGGAGCGGGUAGGGAAGCUCUGUCUUUCCUGAAUGGGCUUCCCUGCAGGGCGCACUCUGGAAAGUGAUGCAAACAUAUAAUGAUCUGAGGACAUCGCUCAGUGGUAGAGCACUUGCCUAGCUCAUGCAAGACUCAAGACUCAAUCCCAAGUGCUGCAAAAUAGUAAUAAUAGUUAUUAUUAUUAUAAAAUAUUUUAUUUUUUCAUAGAAGAC